GUAGGUGGCAAGCGUUGUCCGGAAUUAUUGGGCGUAAAGCGCGCGCAGGGCGGUCCUUUAAGUCUGAUGUGAAAGCCCACGGCUCAACCGUGGAGGGUCAUUGGAAACUGGGGGACUUGAGUACAGAAGAGGAAAGCGGAAUUCCAAGUGUAGCGGUGAAAUGCGUAGAGAUUUGGAGGAACACCAGUGGCGAAGGCGGCUUUCUGGUCUGUAACUGACGCUGAGGCGCGAAAGCGUGGGGAACAAACAGGAUUAGAUACCCUGGUAGUCCACGCCGUAAACGAUGAGUGCUAAGUGUUAGGGGGUUUCCGCCCCUUAGUGCUGCAGCUAACGCAUUAAGCACUCCGCCUGGGGAGUACGGCCGCAAAGGCUG
rnacentral:rRNA from 1 species